rnacentral:rRNA from 1 species
AGGACGAACGCUGGCGGCGUGCUUAACUCAUGCAAGUCGAACGGUAAGGCCCUUCGGGGUACACGAGUGGCGAACGGGUGAGUAACACGUGGGUGAUCUGCCCUGCACUUCGGGAUAAGCCUGGGAAACUGGGUCUAAUACCGGAUAGGACUCCUGGCUUCAUGGUUGGGGGUGUAAAGCUUUUGCGGUGUGGGAUGGGCCCGCGGCCUAUCAGCUUGUUGGUGGGGUAAUGGCCUACCAAGGCGACGACGGGUAGCCGGCCUGAGAGGGUGACCGGCCACACUGGGACUGAGAUACGGCCCAGACUCCUACGGGAGGCAGCAGUGGGGAAUAUUGCACAAUGGGCGCAAGCCUGAUGCAGCGACGCCGCGUGAGGGAUGACGGCCUUCGGGUUGUAAACCUCUUUCAAUAGGGACGAAGCGCAAGUGACGGUACCUAUAGAAGAAGGACCGGCCAACUACGUG